rnacentral:sRNA from 1 species
GGCAUCUCCCUUGCACAGUUCUCCUCCUCGGCCUGCCCAAGAGUCCGCCAGGCCAUGGACGCAGUGGCCGUGUAUCAUGGCAAAAUCAGCAGGGAAACCGGCGAGAAGCUCCUGCUUGCCACUGGGCUGGAUGGCAGCUAUUUGCUGAGGGACAGCGAGAGCGUGCCAGGCGUGUACUGCCUAUGUGUGCUCAUUUCAGAAGCCAGAUCAAGGCAUUGUAAUACCUCUGCAGUAUCCAGUUGAGAAGAAGUCCUCAGCUAGAAGUACACAAGGUACGACAGGGAUAAGAGAAGAUCCUGAUGUCUGCCUGAAAGCCCCAUGAAGAAAAAUAAAACACCUUGUACUUUAUUUUCUAUAAUUUAAAUAUAUGCUAAGUCUUAUAUAUUGUAGAUAAUACAGUUCGGUGAGCUACAAAUGCA